rfam:Trichuris trichiura, WGS project CBXK01000000 data, contig: TTRE_149
AAAAUCAUGAAAAUUCAAUACAUUGCAAGAUUUUCGUAGGCCU